rnacentral:misc_RNA from 1 species
AUAUUUUACGACAAUUAACAGACCCUGUUCGGCAGUGGAGAACUCCAAGCAAAUUUUGCCAAAUACGUGCAGUUUAUGAAGAUGAUCUUGUCUUUUUAGAAAGGCAAAUUUACUUUGAUAUAUUGUGAACAACUGUAGCUCUCACUGAAGUCUUGUCACACUCCAAAAAUGCCUUUAGUGUGAAUAACAAACAUCGAAGUGUACCAUAUUCGGACAAUUGUUAUUCGGAUAGAUAUUCAUUCAUCUGCUUCUUCAGGAAUAUGUCAAACUUUGAUGAGAGAAGUGGCGUGGCAGCAUGUACAACUGCAUGGGGCCGCUGGUACCAGACCAUGGAAGAGGUAUUCAUAGAGGUGAAUCUUGAGGAGGGAACCAGUGGCAGACAGGUCAAAGUCAACAUCACACCCAAAAGAUUACAAGUGUUAGUGAAAGGAGAAACUAUAAUUGAGGGAGAACUAGCAUCAUCAGUAAAGAGUGAUGACAGUGUAUGGACUAUAGAAGACAAGAAGUUUCUGCGAAUAUGUUUAUGUAAAGUAAUGACUACAGCUGACCAGUGUUGGAAAUCAUUGUUGAAAGGCCAGUACGAGACAGAUCCAGGCACGUACGAUGAGAUGGAGAAAAAGCUUACACUUCAAAGAUACCAGUAUGAAAAUCCAGGGAUGGACUUCAGUAAUGCAGAGAUUACGGGAAAUUAUCAUGGUGGAGGACCAGAGUUACCUGGCAGUUAGGGGAGAUGCCUCAAUGACAGAUGUUAGAAAUGACAUUUCUUUUGGAUUAGACAUAAAUGAUGUCCUUUAGUAGAAAGCAAAAUGAGGUUUUAAAAAACAAAGAGUGACUUCUCAUAAUGUUUGAACAUGUGAAUUUCUAUUGUUAAAAUCACUAGAAUCUGUAUGUGUACAGUCAACCUAUUGUUUAAUUAAGGUGUCACAGUUCUUUCAUGAAAUAUCAAUUGAAUCAUUUGACUAACUUAUAUAAGAAAUUAAAAUUGUCUUGAAGGAAGACUUGCUAUGAAACCUAUUCAGUAUUGUCACUAUUUGUUAUAUCAUGGCAUUCUAGAACAUCGUGAACAUCUGAAUUUCAAGUGUCUAUAAGUUUGUGAUAAAAACUAUGAAAAUGACACAGACAUAUCAACUGUAUGAAGAAAUGUUUGUCUUACUUCAGAUCAUAAUUCCAAACUUGAAGGAAAAAAUGUACUGCUUUAUUCAGAUAUUUUGAACAUCUCCAAUGGUCAUUGUAAAGUGACUGCUGUUAUUGCUGGAGGUUAUGUGACUGCUGUUAUUGCUGGAGGUUAUGUGACAACAGGAGAGCACCCUAGACAGAUCCUUGUCCCUUUUUAUGAAUCAUUAGUGACAAAAGAGGCAGAAGUUAAACAUGUGCAGAAUGCCUUAAAAUGACUAACGGGUCUGAUUCAAAGACUGCCUUACAUCAGGGGAACUGACAAUGAGUUUUGAGGGACCACAGUGUUUAUGUUACAACUCAUUUAGUGAACAACUUGCCCAUGUUACAGACAAAUCUGAGAGUCCUGUUGUAUAUUAUGUGAAGUGUACUGAUUGUAAAAAAAAUUACAUUGAAGAAAUAGAGCAUUGAACAUAAGAAUAAAGGAACAAACAUGCAUAUCAGACUCUGCAAUUUGUGAACAUAUUUUGAAUAAUGAACACACAUCUUCAGCCAUAUUCACACUCUAGUUUAGUAAAAGAUGUCAUUAAAGUCAGUAACACCACCAAGCAGUUUAACAAGGAUAAGGGCCUCUAAUGAUCACCAGUCUAUAAUGCUCUCCGUCACAUGACCUACAACAAUAUCAGCAGUCAACAGAAGACAAAGACUUUUGAAGUAUUUAAAUAUUGGGGAAGAUUUUCGCUAUGAGUUAGGAAUUUUGAAGGAAUCCAGAGAUUUAGUUAUUGGUUCUUUAUUUGUUUGUUUGUCCUAGAUAAUGUGUAUUAAUAAAAUAUGAAAAGUAAUAUUCAGAA